rnacentral:lncRNA from 1 species
AUCAUCUGCCUCCACAUCACUGCAAGUCACCUGGCUAAGCACCCCAGAUGUAUCUAAGUCUCAAGGUUCCUUCCAUCCGGACUUUUCUUUGAGGAAGAGAAAUUAACUGGAGGCAAGCGAGUCUGUGCACCUUGCUUCCCACUUUGAAACAGUAUAACUUUUGAUCAUUACUAAAUCAUCCCCAAGAUGAAAACUAUGUGUGCAUCCAUUGUCUGUCUAGCAUAAUGGGAAUGAACAAAUAACAUAAACUUCACGUGAGACUAUGAGGACCGGACAAGGAAAAGUUGGCCUUGAAGUACGUGGUAUGAAAUCACGCUUCCAACCUGUAGAGUGACAGGGCUGUAGGAAAGCUGAGCUUCAUAAAAUCAAAGACAGUGAGAGUUUGUCAUACCACCCAGGGAAAAGUGGGUAAUUUUAAGUCUUUUUCUCUGGACUCCUAAUGAUUCUAAUUAUACUGCUUCUGCUUUUUAGAGUCAGUUAAUUCAGCUGGUUGCCAAAAAGGCAGCAAAUUUGAUCCUUGAAACUACAAUUUCACUUUGUUCUGUUAUAGCCCUGGGCUGCACUUUACCCUAGCCUGGUCCAGGUCUCUUGGGAAACCUGGUGAGAGGAGGAGGGGAGUGACUUUCCACUCUUUUGUAAAAUUAACUCUAAGACUAUAAGCACUAGGUGGCAUUUGAGCAUCACUUUCAAACAUUUUUGUUAUGUCCUGGACCAUUGUGUAGUUAAUAUUUUCUUUAAAUUCACUCAUUUAUAAUCUUAAAAGUUUUAAAAUAUGUAUUAGUCGGGAUAGUCUAGGCUUUGUUGCAGUAACAAAUAAACGCUGAUAUUGCAAAGGCUUAACACAGCAAAGGUUUGGUUUUCCAUAUGAACAAAAGCUCAACGUCACUGAUCAUUAGGGAAAUGCAAAUCAAAACUACAAUGAGAUACCAUGGUGAUUGUUCAAAAGUCAAGAAACAAUAGAUGCUGGCAAGGCUGUGGAGAAAUAGGAAUGCUUUUACACUGUUGGUGGGAGUGUAAAUUAGUACAACCAUUGUGGAAGAAGGUGUUGCCAUUCCUCAAGGAUCUAGAACCAGAAGUACCAUUUGACCCAGCAAUCCCAUUUCUUGGUAUAUACCCAAAGGAAUAUAGAUCAUUCUACUAGAAAGACACAUGCACACGUAUGUUUAUUGCAGCACUAUUUACAAUAACAAAGACUUGGAACCAACCCAAAUGCCCAUCAAUGAUAGACUGGAUAAAGAAAAUGUGGUACAUAUACACCAUGGAAUACUAUGCAGCCAUAAAGAGGAAUGAGAUCAUGUCCUUUGCAAGGACAUGGAUGAAGCUGGAAGCCAUCAUCCUCAGCAAACUAACACAGGAACAGAAAACCAAACACCACAUAUUCUCACUCAUAAGUGGGAGUUGAA